rnacentral:lncRNA from 10 species
GGAAAACCAACAGGACCCUAGAAUGACGUUUUGAAAGAAAAAGAAAUAAAUGAAAAAUAAAUUUUUAUAAAAUUAUGACAUUCUGGAGGUGAAGAGGUUAAAGUCAUGACAAAACCUGCUGAGAAUAUUUCUCUUCUCCCGCCAAAAAAUUUCUAAAGAAUUAAUUCAAUUGAGAAUGCUUACGAAUAUAUGAAAUGAUGAAAAGUCAGAUUUACCAUCUAUGUUCCAGAGUCUCAGGAUUUCAAAUCUUUCUAAGAAAAGCUCCAAGUCUAUUUUUACUCAGUUCUGGCCUGCCAGAAUUAAAGCAGAUAUUAAAUAAUGAAGAAAAUGAAGACCAGAGACAUGAAGGAAACAUAGACUUCUUCAUUGUGAAAAGUUGGCCAGAAGGAAAAAUAUCAUCAAAGCCAUGGAUCCAUUAAUGAUAUUGAUUAUACCUGAGCUCCAGGAAGACCUCUUUCCCCUGGGAAACCACGUAAUCCUGCUGGUCCAUCUUUCCCUGAGAUACCUUGAGGACCUGGAUCACCCUAAAGAAUAUAAUAAACAUCGUCAAGACAGAUUAAUUUCUACACAUCUUUCUACAAACAAAAUUGUGAUUACCUCUAAACUACUGAUUCAUUUCUUCUCAGUACAUAAAUUUCGGAGCUAUUGAUGACAGCACAAAAAACAAAACAAAGAAACAGCAACAAAAACUAGGGUUGGCAGAUGUGGAAAACUGAAAGAAAACAUAGUCAACGCAUGUGUGGAAUGAGACUCUCAAUUCACUCUGCAGCUACUGCUCCAGCUAAUUUAGAGCAGUGAUGACAGGCUUGGCUGGGGAGACAUGGCCAGCCCUUUGGAAAUGCACAUUCCCUAACCAUACUGUAAAAUGGUGGGUUUUAUUAACAAUGUAUAGUGCUAACAUAAACCAUUAAAUGAAGCCCACUCAAUUCUGCAAGCCAGUCUGGUUUAUAUUUUAUUUUUUUUCCAAAUGAAAAGUGCUAGAUUAAUAUUCCAGAAGUGUCUAGGACUAGAUCCAUAAAAUAAAAUACCCAAAAAGUUGCAGGAGCCCUCGUAAAAUGUCUGUUUCAUGUGACUUGGCAUGGUGACCAAGUGUAUUUCCAUAUACACUUAAUCUUUGGUCUUUCCACUAGAACAUUCAACUGGCAUAGGUGUCUGCUUGGUUUGAAUUGAGCAAAGAUUUAUAUAAGGAGCUACUUAAUAUAGUGAGAGUAAAAUUUACACAUACUUCAUGCCAAGAAAUCUGGGUCUUCACUUAAGCCAUUCCCAGUAUUAUAGGUAUGUGCUUUUCAUUAACAGAAAAUAAAAACAAUUUCAAUAAUUAAAACUGAUUAGAACUCUAAACUUGAUAUUUUUGUUUAAUUAAUGUAGGCUAUGAUAAUGAUAUGUCAUAAUCAUGGUGUCAUAUAUAAUAUUCAAAAUACCAAAUUAACAUUUAGCCUUAGAGGCAUUCUUAAUUAUUCUCUUUUUCUCAUACUACACACUCCUAUAGUCAGAAAAUUCUAUCAGUUCAUAUAUUCAAAAGUAUAAACAGAAUCCAAUAUCUCUCAAUUUAGUACAAGCUGCCAUCUCUCACAGCUAGACUCCUAACUGGCCUCUGCUUCUACUCUUAUGCAUCCAGAGCCACCUUUUAAAAAUCUAAGUCAGAUCAAGGAUCUGCAUUCUUAAAACUAUCAAAUACAAUACUCACAGUAAAAGCUGAAGCCAUUAUUCUGCUUCACAGGAGGGUCCCCUAUCCUUCUAUGACCUCAUGAGCUCAGACGCCCCCUGGACUCCUGGCAUCCCAGCCACAAGGCUGCCUCUUUUUUGCCCCUUGCACAUGUUCUUCACCCAGGCAGGAUUGUUCUUUCUCCACAUCCCUACAUGGCUAUUCUCUCACUUCCUUUGUGAUUUUGCUCAAUGCAACCUCACUCAAAAAAACAUGAGUGAAACCUCAUGUUUUACUUUGAGGAUUCAUUCAUAUUAAACUGUCCUAUCUAAAAUAGUACACUCUACAUCUCUUAUCUUGAUUUAUUUUCGUUCAAAGAACUAUCAGCACUUCGCAUAUUUAAGCUCCAGGAGUGGAGGAACUUCACCUGGGUUGUUCAUUGCUACAACUGCUGUGCUCUACAGACUGCCAGCCAAGCGGUGGCUAAUAGAUAAAUACUUAUGGAAUGAAUGUUCACUCAUGAUGAAUGUCAUGAUUGUUCUUUAAAAACAUCACAGUGUGCUUAAAUACCAAUAUUUUUGCAUCUAAAUUAUUAUGGCAGUUGAGCUCAACAAGUAUGUCACUUUUUAACUGUCUCAAGUAAAAGUAUAGGACCUACCUAGCACACAGUAAGCAUUUAAUAAAUUGUUAUUGAAG